rnacentral:rRNA from 1 species
GACGAACGCUGGCGGCGUGCUUAACACAUGCAAGUCGAACGGGUCUGCCCUGUUUUUUGCGGGGUGGGUCAGUGGCGAACGGGUGAGUAACACGUGAGUAACCUGCCCCUCACUUCUGGAUAACCGCUUGAAAGGGUGGCUAAUACGGGGUGUUCUGGCUGUGCCGCAUGGUGUGGCUGGGAAAGAUUCACUUUUGUGGUGUUUUGGUGGGGGAUGGGCUCGCGGCCUAUCAGCUUGUUGGUGGGGUGAUGGCCUGCCAAGGCUUUGACGGGUAGCCGGCCUGAGAGGGUGGGCGGUCACACUGGGACUGAGAUACGGCCCAGACUCCUGCGGGAGGCAGCAGUGGGGGGUAGUGCACAAUGGGCGGAAGCCUGAUGCAGCGACGUCGCGUGAGGGAUGGAGGCCUUCGGGUUGUGAACCUCUUUCGCCGGUGAAGAAGGUCCUGCUCUUUGGGGUGGGGUUGACGGUAGCCGGGUUAUGAAGCGCCGGCUAACUACGUG